CUUUUUAUAUUUUUAUUGUAUUUUUGUUUAUUUUUUAUUUUUUUUGUUUUACUUUAAUAUUCUUUUCUUAUUUUAUUUUUAUUUGGUUUAUUUUUUAUUUCUUUCUUUAUUUAAAUUUUCAUAAAUGUUUAGAAUGUUUUGGAUUUUUUAUUUUUCAUAAAUCAUCUUUUGUCUUUUCAUUUUUAUUAUUUUCUUAAUUUUUUCACAAAUUUCUUUUUAUUUCUUAUUUUCAUUUUCAAAUUCUUAUAGUUUUUUUGUUGCAUUUUCUUCUUUGGUUUUCAUUUUUAUUUUGCAUUAACUUUUCUCUUUUUUAAUCUUUUGUCUUUGAUUUUUUAUAUUGUUUUCUUAUUAUUUCUUAUAUGUUUUUCAAUUUUUUGUAUUUUUUAAAAUAUUUUUUUUCUAUUUUGUCAUUUCCUUUCAUUUUUGAAAUUUUUAUUCAAUUUUUGUCUUUUUUUAUUUUCUUACUUUUUAUAUUUUUUAUUGUAUUUUUGUUUAUUUACAUUUUAUAUUUUUUUCUUAUUUUUAUUUUUUAUUUCUUUCUUUAUUUAUAUU
rnacentral:lncRNA from 1 species